GAGUUUGAUCCUGGCUCAGAUUGAACGCUGGCGGCAGGCCUAACACAUGCAAGUCGAACGGUAGCACAGAGAGCUUGCUCUCGGGUGACGAGUGGCGGACGGGUGAGUAAUGUCCGGGAAACUGCCUGAUGGAGGGGGAUAACCACUGGAAACGGUGGCUAAUACCGCAUAAUGUUGCGAGACCAAAGUGGGGGACUUACGGGCCUCACGCCAUCAGAUGUGCCCAGACGGGAUUAGCUGGUAGGUGGGGUAAAGGCUCACCUAGGCGACGAUCCCUAGCUGGUCUGAGAGGAUGACCAGCCACACUGGAACUGAGACACGGUCCAGACUCCUGCGGGAGGCAGCAGUGGGGAAUAUUGCACAAUGGGGGAAACCCUGAUGCAGCCAUGCCGCGUGUAUGAAGAAGGCCUUCGGUUGUAAG
rnacentral:rRNA from 1 species